CAAAACGUAGCUUAAUCAAAGCAUCCCGCUUACACCGAGAACAUAUCUGUUGAACCCAGAUCGCUUUGA
rnacentral:tRNA from 1 species